GGUUGUAGGAGUUCCUCUGCUGCAGGAAGGCGGCCGCGGCCGCCUGAUGCUGCUGCUGGAGCUGCGGGCUGACGGGUGACCUCCGGCUCUGAGGCUGCUGCGGCGCCGCGGGCGGCGGGGGCUGCUGCUGCUGAGAUUCAUGAACAGUGAGAUUCGAGGCUGAAACCGACCUACUAAAUUGGAGUCCUACGUGCUGCAACAUCGCCUUGCUAGUCUGGUCAUGGGUGGAGCCCUGGGAUGCAUGUGGGAUAUAGAGUCUUGCUUCCUGUGAGUCCAGUUGUCU